GAUGAACGCUGGCGGCGUGCCUAAUACAUGCAAGUCGAGCGAACGGACGAGAAGCUUGCUUCUCUUAUGUUAGCGGCGGACGGGUGAGUAACACGUGGAUACCCUCCCUAUAAUACUUGGAUAACUUCGGGAAACCGGAGCUAAUACCGGAUGAUCUCUUGAACCUCAUGGUUCAAAAGUGAAAGGCGGUCUUGCUGUCCCGUAUAGUUGCAUCCGCGCCGCAUUAGCUAGUUGUGACGGUAACGGCUUACCAAGGCAACUAUGCAUAGCCGACCUGGGAGAGUGGUCGGCCACCCUAGAACUGAGACAGGGACCAUGGUCCUACGGGAGGGAGCAGAAGGGAAUCGGCCGCAAUGGUGGAAAGCAUGGCGGAGCAGCGCGGCGUGUGUGAUGAAGGUCUUCGGAUCGUAAAACUCUGUUAUGAGGGAAGAACAUAUGUGUAAGUAACUGUGCACAUCGUGACGGUACCUAAUCAGAAAGCCACGGCUAACUACGUG
rnacentral:rRNA from 1 species